rnacentral:rRNA from 1 species
AACGAACGCUGGCGGCAGGCCUAACACAUGCAAGUCGAGCGCGCCCUUCGGGGUGAGCGGCGGACGGGUGAGUAACGCGUGGGAACGUGCCCUUCUCUGCGGAAUAGCCUCGGGAAACUGAGAGUAAUACCGCAUACGCACUCUGGGGGAAAGAUUUAUCGGGGAAGGAUCGGCCCGCGUUGGAUUAGGUAGUUGGUGGGGUAAUGGCCCACCAAGCCGACGAUCCAUAGCUGGGUUGAGAGGAUGAUCAGCCACACUGGGACUGAGACACGGCCCAGCCUCCUACGGGAGGCAGCAGUGGGGAAUCUUAGACAAUGGGGGCAACCCUGAUCUAGCCAUGCCGCGUGAGUGAUGAAGGCCUUAGGGUUGUAAAGCUCUUUCAGCUGGGAAGAUAAUGACGGUACCAGCAGAAGAAGCCCCGGCUAACUCCGUG